rnacentral:rRNA from 1 species
UACGGAAGGGGGCUAGCGUUGCUCGGAAUUACUGGGCGUAAAGCGCACGUAGGCGGUCUUUUAAGUCGGGGGUGAAAUCCUGGAGCUCAACUCCAGACUGCCUUCGAUACUGGAAGACUUGAGUCCGGGAGAGGUGAGUGGAACUGGCGAGUGUAGAGGUGAAAUUCGUAGAUAUUCGCAAGAACACCAGUGGCGAAGGCGGCUCACUGGCCCGGUACUGACGCUGAGGUGCGAAAGCGUGGGGAGCAAACAGG